CCUACGGGCGGCUGCAGUGGGGAAUAUUGCACAAUGGGCGCAAGCCUGAUGCAGCCAUGCCGCGUGUGUGAAGAAGGCCUUCGGGUUGUAAAGCACUUUCAGCGGGGAGGAAGGCGUUAAGGUUAAUAACCUUGUCGAUUGACGUUACCCGCAGAAGAAGCACCGGCUAACUCCGUGCCAGCAGCCGCGGUAAUACGGAGGGUGCAAGCGUUAAUCGGAAUUACUGGGCGUAAAGCGCACGCAGGCGGUCUGUCAAGUCGGAUGUGAAAUCCCCGGGCUCAACCUGGGAACUGCAUUCGAAACUGGCAGGCUAGAGUCUUGUAGAGGGGGGCAGAAUUCCAGGUGGAGCGGUGAAAUGCGUAGAGAUCUGGAGGAAUACCGGUGGCGAAGGCGGCCCCCUGGACAAAGACUGACGCUCAGGUGCGAAAGCGUGGGGAGCAAACAGGAUUAGAUACCCCUGUAGUC
rnacentral:rRNA from 1 species